GUGAUUAAAUCGAGCGUGUCUUCAUUGACCGCUCACCCUUCUCACCAUCCACAUACACCUGUGCACUGCUUAGCCUGAGCCGGUUUUCCGGUCCAGGUUAUCACUUCAUACAAACUCUAGUCUUAUGAAUGUAAACGUUUUAAUAACAUAAUA
rnacentral:misc_RNA from 1 species